GGGAAUAAAAACACGUUCCGGCCGGUAGUCCGGAAGUGAGGGGCUCGUCCUCUCAUCAGUAACCUGCCUCCUUGGUUGUCCGUUUCCCGC
rnacentral:ncRNA from 2 species